UACCUGGUUGAUCCUGCCAGUAGUCAUAUGCUUGUUUCAAAGAUUAAGCCAUGCAUGUCUAAAGUACAAAACUCUCCUAAGUCGAAACCGCAAAUGGCUCAUUAAAUCAGUCAUAAUUUACUGGAUUUUGUAAAUCCUUACUCGGAUAACUGUGGUAAUUCUAGAGCUAAUACGUGCAAUUGAGCUCGGAACCCUUAGCCAUCCGUGGUGAAAGGGGGAAGGGCGCAGUUAUUAGAUUCAAAACCGAGCGGGCUCACUCGUUUGAGCACCGUCUCCCUUCGGGGAGUUUUGAUGACUCUGAAUAACCUCUAGCCGAGCGUUGAGGCCUAGAGCCGGCGCCGUAUCCUUCGAGUGUCUGCCUUAUCAGCUGUCGAUUGUAGGCUAUACGCCUACAAUGGCUGUAACGGGUAACGGGGAAUCAGGGUUCGAUUCCGGAGAGGGAGCCUGAGAAACGGCUACCACAUCUAAGGAAGGCAGCAGGCACGCAAAUUACCCACUCUCAGCCCAGGGGAGGUAGUGACGAUAAAUAACGAUGCGGGACUCUUCCGAGGCCUCGCAAUCGGAAUGAGCUCACUGUAAAACCUUGGACGAGGAUCCAUUGGAGGGCAAGUCUGGUGCCAGCAGCCGCGGUAAUUCCAGCUCCAAUAGCGUAUAUUAAAAUUGCUGCGGUUAAAAAGCUCGUAGCUGGGACCUCAGGUCGGACCGGCGGCCCAUUCAAUGCGAGCCCCUAUGCUCUCGUACAAGGGGAUUUCUCGGAAGUGCCCCAUACACGACGGACCGAAAAACGGCCAUCGCGUAACCUUUCCCUUAAGGUCACGAGCAUCAAGGGUACUCCUCUUUGAUUCCUCGAUCGUCUUUGACUUUCGUUGAUGAUGAGGUUUAUCCGCUCGCGACUGGGUUAGGCCAAACGAUACUACGGUCGGGUUCCGCUUUCGGAAUGGGGUUUCGACGUCCGAGAGCCCCGCGAGGCGCGAGGUAAGCUCGUAAGAUGGUACACCGACCGGCUCCGGAUUUUUUAAACAAAAACCGUCGGCUAGCGAGGGGGUGCUCUUCACCGAGUGUCCCCCCGUGGCCGACACGUUCACUUUGAAAAAAUUAGAGUGCUCAAAGCAGGCAACUAUUAACGCCUGAAUGUAUAUGCAUGGAAUGAUGGAACAGGACCUCGGUUCCGAAAUUUAUGGCUCGGUUUACCGAACCCGAGGUAAUGAUUAACGGAGACGGACGGGGGCAUUAGUAUUGUGACGCUUAGAGGUGAAAUUCUUGGACCGUCGCAAGACUAACAAAAGCGAAAGCAUUUGCCAAGAACGUUUUCAUUAGUCAAGAACGAAAGUUAGAGGAUCGAAGGCGAUCAGAUACCGCCCUAGUUCUAACCUUAAACUAUGCAACUAGCGAUUCGCUUAAGUCAUUCCCACGACUUAGCGAGCAGUCCCCGGGAAACCAAAGUCUUUGGGUUCCGGGGGAAGUAUGGUUGCAAAGCUGAAACUUAAAGGAAUUGACGGAAGGGCACCACCAGGAGUGGCGUGCGGCUUAAUUUGACUCAACACGGGGAAACUCACCAGGCCCAGACACCGGAAGGAUUGACAGAUUGAGAGCUCUUUCUCGAUUCGGUGGUUGGUGGUGCAUGGCCGUUCUUAGUUGGUGGAGCGAUUUGUCUGGUUAAUUCCGAUAACGAACGAGAUUCUCGCCUACUAACUAGUCGGCGGAUCGUUACCCGAGACGGGUUUCCUGCCGGAGUUAAACGGUCGUGGCAUCGGUUUCUCUUCUCGCGUCCGUCUGUGCUUGCUUCUUGGGGAAGUUCGGAGGAGAGUCGUUGGCUUUGGCGUCCCGGUCGUUCCUUCGGGGGCUUCUGAAGGCGUCAUGGUCACCUCCCUUCGAGUGACUCUUUGGGGUAUUGCACGCUAAAGGCGGCGCGGGGUUUUGAGGAUCGAGAACGUCGCGACGAAGUUUGCUCUGCGAGUAGGGCCCUGAAUGGGGCGUCCGUCGCAACCUCUUCUUAGGGGGAUUGCCGGUGUCCAGCCGUAAGAGAGAGAGCAAUAACAGGUCUGUGAUGCCCUUAGAUGUUCUGGGCCGCACGCGCGCUACAAUGAAGGGCUCAGCGUGCUUCCUCCCUCCGAAAGGAGUGGGGUAACCACUGAAACCCCUCCCCGAAUUGGGAUUUGGGGAUUGUAAAUGUUUCCCAUGAACGAGGAAUCCCUAGUAAGCGCGAGUCAUUAGCUCGCGCUGAUUACGUCCCUGCCCUUUGUACACACCGCCCGUCGCUACUACCGAUUGAAUGAUUAAGUGAGGGCGUCGGACCAUCGCCCACGGUCUAUAAGCCUGAGUUAGCAAUAAAGUCUUGGGUAAGGCUCGUUCGCCGGGUCUCCCUCGACUGCUUUCGACGGUAGACCCGGGCUGACGGAAGACGUCGAACUUGAUUAUUUAGAGGAAGUAAAAGUCGUAACAAGGUUUCCGUAGGUGAACCUGCGGAAGGAUCAUUA
rnacentral:rRNA from 1 species